ACAUGCAAGUCGAGCGAACAGAAGGGAGCUUGCUCCCGGAUGUUAGCGGCGGACGGGUGAGUAACACGUGGGUAACCUGCCUGUAAGACUGGGAUAACUCCGGGAAACCGGAGCUAAUACCGGAUAGUUCCUUGAACCGCAUGGUUCAAGGAUGAAAGACGGUUUCGGCUGUCACUUACAGAUGGACCCGCGGCGCAUUAGCUAGUUGGUGGGGUAAUGGCUCACCAAGGCGACGAUGCGUAGCCGACCUGAGAGGGUGAUCGGCCACACUGGGACUGAGACACGGCCCAGACUCCUACGGGAGGCAGCAGUAGGGAAUCUUCCGCAAUGGACGAAAGUCUGACGGAGCAACGCCGCGUGAGUGAUGAAGGUUUUCGGAUCGUAAAGCUCUGUUGUUAGGGAAGAACAAGUGCGAGAGUAACUGCUCGCACCUUGACGGUACCUAACCAGAAAGCCACGGCUAACUACGUGCCAGCAGCCGCGGUAAUACGUAGGUGGCAAGCGUUGUCCGGAAUUAUUGGGCGUAAAGGGCUCGCAGGCGGUUUCUUAAGUCUGAUGUGAAAGCCCCCGGCUCAACCGGGGAGGGUCAUUGGAAACUGGGAAACUUGAGUGCAGAAGAGGAGAGUGGAAUUCCACGUGUAGCGGUGAAAUGCGUAGAGAUGUGGAGGAACACCAGUGGCGAAGGCGACUCUCUGGUCUGUAACUGACGCUGAGGAGCGAAAGCGUGGGGAGCGAACAGGAUUAGAUACCCUGGUAGUCCACGCCGUAAACGAUGAGUGCUAAGUGUUAGGGGGUUUCCGCCCCUUAGUGCUGCAGCUAACGCAUUAAGCACUCCGCCUGGGGAGUACGGUCGCAAGACUGAAACUCAAAGGAAUUGACGGGGGCCCGCACAAGCGGUGGAGCAUGUGGUUUAAUUCGAAGCAACGCGAAGAACCUUACCAGGUCUUGACAUCCUCCUGACAACCCUAGAAGAUAGGGGCUUUCCCUUCGGGGACAGAAGUGACAGGUGGUGCAUGGUUGUCGUCCAGCUCCGUGUCGUGAGAUGUUGGGUUAAGUCCCGCAACGAGCGCAACCCUUGAUCUUA
rnacentral:rRNA from 1 species